rnacentral:rRNA from 1 species
UCGAGAAUCUUCGGCAAUGGGCGCAAGCCUGACCGAGCGACGCCGCGUGCGGGAUGAAGGCCUUCGGGUUGUAAACCGCUGUCGUAGGGGAGGAAGGUCUGGUGUAUAGCCAGGCUUGACCGAUCCUAGGAGGAAGGGCCGGCUAAUCUCGUGCCAGCAGCCGCGGUAAUACGAGAGGCCCAAACGUUAUUCGGAAUUACUGGGCUUAAAGAGUUCGUAGGCGGCAUGACAAGUAGGGUGUGAAAGCCCUCGGCUCAACCGAGGAAUUGCGCUCUAAACUGUCGUGCUUGAGGAAUCUAGAGGUGAGCGGAACUGAUGGUGGAGCGGUGAAAUGCGUUGAUAUCAUCAGGAACACCGGAGGCGAAGGCGGCUCACUGGGGAUUUUCUGACGCUGAGGAACGAAAGCCAGGGGAGCGAACG